rnacentral:rRNA from 1 species
ACGGGUGAGUAACGCGUGCGAACGUACCUUUUGGUUCGGAAUAACUCAGGGAAACUUGUGCUAAUACCGAAUAAGCCCUUACGGGGAAAGAUUUAUCGCCGAAAGAUCGGCCCGCGUCUGAUUAGCUAGUUGGUGAGGUAAGAGCUCACCAAGGCGACGAUCAGUAGCUGGUCUGAGAGGAUGAUCAGCCACAUUGGGACUGAGACACGGCCCAAACUCCUACGGGAGGCAGCAGUGGGGAAUAUUGGACAAUGGGUGAAAGCCUGAUCCAGCCAUGCCGCGUGAGUGAUGAAGGCCCUAGGGUUGUAAAGCUCUUUUGUGCGGGAAGAUAAUGACGGUACCGCAAGAAUAAGCCCCGGCUAACUUCGUGCCAGCAGCCGCGGUAAUACGAAGGGGGCUAGCGUUGCUCGGAAUCACUGGGCGUAAAGGGUGCGUAGGCGGGUCUUUAAGUCAGGGGUGAAAUCCUGGAGCUCAACUCCAGAACUGCCCUUGAUACUGAGGGUCUUGAGUAUGGGAGAGGUGAGUGGAACUGCGAGUGUAGAGGUGAAAUUCGUAGA